rnacentral:lncRNA from 10 species
AGAGAAGGGCAAAAGCUGAACCCAGCAUGUGGCAGAUUGACAUUUGUCCCUAUCUUUAACAAUCAGCUAGCUGUGUCUUUUCUCUUUAGGUUCUUAUAUAGUAAUUCCUUACCCAUAUGGGGGAUUCGAUUUCUAAGUACCCUUGGUUGGUAAAAAUGAAAGUCUCAUAAAAAGAUUAAGAUUGGAGUUAGGUAGGAGAAAACCAUAAAAAUGACAUCAAAACUUCUUUUUAAUAUUUAUAUAUAACAAUUUAAUUUUAAAUUUUUUGGCUUUAUUUUUUUAAUCGACAAAAUAUGUAUUUAUCACGUACAAUAUGUUUUGAAAUAUGUAUACAUGGUGGAAUGGCUAAAUAGAGCUAAUUAGCACAUGCUUUUUGUGAGAACAUUCAAAAUCCACUCUCAGCAAUCUUCAGAAAUACUGUACAUUGUUAUUAACUGUAGUCACCAUGUUGUUCAGUAGAUCUCUUGAACUUAUUCCACUUGUCUAACUAAAAUUUUGUAUCCUUUGAACAAUACCUCCCUACCCCGCCCCACCCCCCAGUCCCUGGUAACCACUACUCUAAUCUCUGCUCUAUGAGAUGUCUGUAUUUUAAAACACAGUAAAUAAACGUUCUGGAAAGCAUCUGUUUGCAAAAUAAAGCAUGUUCAUCAUUGUC